rnacentral:rRNA from 1 species
ACACGCAUGACACACUGCAUAUCAAUAAGCGGAGGAAAAGAAACUAACAAGGAUUCCCUUAGUAACGGCGAGUGAAGCGGGAAGAGCUCAAAUUUGAAAUCUUCAAGGUUCUACCUUGACGAAUUGUAGUUUAUAGAAGUGUUUUCUGUUAGUAGAGUGGCAAAAGUUCUUUGGAAUAGGACAUCAUAGAGGGUGAGAAUCCCGUAUUUGGUCAUUCCUCCUAGCGUUGUGAUACACUUUCAACGAGUCGGAUUGUUUGGGAAUGCAGUCCAAAAUGGGUGGUAAAUUUCAUCUAAAGCUAAAUAUUGGCGAGAGACCGAUAGCGAACAAGUACCGUGAGGGAAAGAUGAAAAGAACUUUGAAAAGAGAGUUAAACAGUACGUGAAAUUGUCAAAAGGGAAGCGUUUGACACCAGUGUUGUUUUUCCGAAAAUCAAUUACGAAUGUUUUGUUUUUGAGGAGUUAUGACUUCAUCGGCUUGCUCCUUUCUUUAUGAAACUUUCUUAAUGCACUUUUCGGUUAACAAGUCAACAUCAAUUUCUUUUGUUGUAAAAGGGUAAGAGGAAGGUGGCUUGCGCUUCGGCUCAAGUGUUUAUAGCCUUUUACCUCUGCAAUCGGAGAGAUUGAGGACUGCAGCGUAGACUCUUCGGGGUUAGAUACGUUUGUGCUAAGUUAUAGCCUUGUAUAGACAACUUGUUGACUAUACUCAGUCAUGUAGCUUACUCGCAGAUAGUAUUUUACCUACGCUUAGGAUGUUGACGCGCGUGUGUGCGUG